rnacentral:lncRNA from 1 species
GGGAAGGCGGGGCCGGAGAGGAGAGAGGAAGAGGAAGGAACGCGCCUGGCGUCACUGAGGGUGUCACCCGGGACCGCGGCUCAGGAACCCCAGACGCACGGGCCUUGUGCUGUCGCUGCCGUGGCACCCCUUCUAGAAGGACUCUAUUCUCUAUAACAGAAGUGGGAGCCUUGGACAACUGAACGCCUAUCUCUAGCUCAAGAAAUGUCAGCUCUUUUUUUUUUUUUGAGACUGUCACCCAGUCGGGAGUACAGUGGCGCCAUCUUGGCUCUCUGUAACCUCCACCUCCUGGGUUCAAGCGAUUCUCCUGCCUCAGCCUCCUGAGUAGCUGGGGCUACAGGUAUGCACCAUCACUCCUGGCUAAUUGUUGUAUUUUUAGUAGAUAAUGGGGUUUCACCAUGUUGGCCAGGGUGGUCUCAAACUCCUGACCUCAGGUGAUCUGCCUGCCUCGGCCUCCCAAAGUGCUGGGAUUACAGACGUGAGCCACCAUGCCCAGCCAAGAAAUGUCAAUUCUUUAUCGUAGCCUGGCUUUCCAUAUUUCUCACUAGGGUUUUUAUUCUCUAGUUUGUAAAUCACAUUUGGCGUUUGUAGAUCACUCCUUCCCUUUUAGUGGCAUUCUCUAUUAGGUGUCCAUCUCCCAAUAUGAAGAAACAGUUUUCUGCUUUUUCCUCCUUUAUCUGAUCCAUUUACAGAUUUAUUACAUUUAUAAUAGGCUAGGUAUUGGGGAUACAAAAAUGAAUAAGAUAUGGUCUGUUUUCAAAGGUAUGCAGAAACUUUUCUAUAUAUUCCUACUGACUUGUAUUUGUAUUUCUUGAAUUAAAAACAAUCCUGGCUGUGUUUUUUUUUUUUUUUUUUUGCUCUUAGUGAAUCUUUGUUUCUUCUUUUCAUUAUGGCAUUCCAGUUGAGUUUCACCACGCAUUAUCAUGAGAAUAAAUAAUUUCACUGACUUUAAUAAUAAAAAAAAAAAAAAAAAAAAAAAAAAAA